AAAUCUUCCUCUCUUCGAGGAUUACUAUUCAUAGGUGUAAAUCAAUCGCAGUCAAACCCCAAAUUCCGAGAUCUGAAAACCAAAACUAUAUGUUUAUUAAAAGUGGAAUUUAAGCAAAGGGCCCCCUUCGCUUCUGAUGUGGAUUCUCCCAAUUUGUUUUCCUCUCCUGUGUUGUUCCUUUCACUCCCUGCCAGCACUCUCACACCGAUCACGAUGUACACUCUCUUUCUCUAUCUCCUCCAACCACCACUUAACUUCGCCAUUUAAUUCAUCAACUCCUACCCCUCCACUCUCAUUACUCAUGUCCAUGAACAAAAACUAACCAGAUUCGCUCCCUCCUUUGUUUCUUUAGCUGCUUAUUAUUGUGGGGGGCAGGGAGAUCUGUUUCAGGAAACGCACUACUUUCACCUUUCCUUAACAUCUUUGCUAGCGGUUUUGUUGCUAUGGCUACUGCUUCUUGGUCAUGAAACAUGAAAAGCCUUAUUUCAAGACUAUAAUGGGUUCUUAUCACCAAUGUUUUCUGUUCAGUGCCACUGUUUUGUUACAUAUUCUGCUCUCUACGGUCUUUUGUUUUGCUCAACACGACCUGCAACCUCCAAUUGCUUCUCACGAGGGUGCAGCAUUUGAGGAGAAGGCAAGGCUAGGUUCAACCCCACCAAGUUGCCACAACAAAUGCAAUGGUUGCCACCCUUGCAUGGCAGUUCAAGUGCCUACUCUGCCGAAUCAAAACCGACCAGCGCAGCCGGUUUCAACCAAAACUAGCAUCAUUGAUCCCUUUUUUGACCCAUAUCCUGCAGGUAAUAACAGGUACUCAAAUUAUAAGCCACUGGGUUGGAAAUGUCGCUGUGGUGACCAUUUUUACAAUCCUUUAAGCUAACUAAUUAAUUAGAGAUGAAUCAAAAUGUCGAUCAUCAUAAUCGUAAUUUUUCUCCUUAAUCUGUUUUGAAUUGUGAUUAAAGGAGCUUCCUGGGAUUCUUUAGACACGUGACGUUGUCAGCAUUAAUUGUACAUAUUGAAACUUCCAUACAGUGUAAAAGACUUGUACUAUCGAGUCCUUUUGGCUUUAUUAUCUGGGGUCCCUGCUAGAAGAGUUAACGUUUAGCAAGUGUAAAAACUGCAAUUAACUUGUUGACAAGCUCAGACUUUCUGUUUAACCA